UACGGGGGGGGCAAGCGUUGUUCGGAAUUACUGGGCGUAAAGGGCUCGUAGGUGGCCAACUAAGUCAGACGUGAAAUCCCUCGGCUUAACCGGGGAACUGCGUCUGAUACUGGAUGGCUUGAGUUUGGGAGAGGGACGCGGAAUUCCAGGUGUAGCGGUGAAAUGCGUAGAGAUAUGGAGGAACACCAGUGGCGAAGGCGACUUUCUGGUCUGUAACUGACACUGAGGCGCGAAAGCGUGGGGAGCAAACAGG
rnacentral:rRNA from 1 species